GGCUUGGUGGCACUCGGAGUGCAUCUGCUCCUUAUUCGUGUGCCAGACAGUGGUGUUGCAGAAGAAGCCCGUUCAACUCGGGCCCAGGCCA